AGUACGGCGAGUGAGCGGUAAAAGCUCAAAUUUGAAAUCUGGUACUUUCAGUGCCCGAGUUGUAAUUUGUAGAAUUUGUCUUUGAUUAGGUCCUUGUCUAUGUUCCUUGGAACAGGACGUCAUAGAGGGUGAGAAUCCCGUUUGGCGAGGAUACCUUUUCUCUGUAAGACUUUUUCGAAGAGUCGAGUUGUUUGGGAAUGCAGCUCAAAGUGGGUGGUAAAUUCCAUCUAAAGCUAAAUAUUGGCGAGAGACCGAUAGCGAACAAGUACAGUGAUGGAAAGAUGAAAAGAACUUUGAAAAGAGAGUGAAAAAGUACGUGAAAUUGUUGAAAGGGAAGGGCAUUUGAUCAGACAUGGUGUUUUUUGCAUGCACUCGCCUCUCGUGGGCUUGGGCCUCUCAAAAAUUUCACUGGGCCAACAUCAAUUCUGGCAGCAGGAUAAAUCAUUAAGAAUGUAGCUACUUCGGUAGUGUUAUAGCUUUUUGGAAUACUGUUAGCCGGGAUUGAGGACUGCGCUUCGGCAAGGAUGUUGGCAUAAUGGUUAAAUGCCGCCCGUCUUGAACCACGGACCAA
rnacentral:rRNA from 1 species